GACGAACGCUGGCAGCGUGCCUAAUACAUGCCAGUAGAACGCUAAAGAGAGGAGCUUGCUCUUCUUGGAUGAGUUGCGAACGGGUGAGUAACGCGUAGGUAACCUGCCUUGUAGCGGGGGAUAACUAUUGGAAACGAUAGCUAAUACCGCAUAACAAUGGAUGACACAUGUCAUUUAUUUGAAAGGGGCAAUUGCUCCACUACAAGAUGGACCUGCGUUGUAUUAGCUAGUAGGUGAGGUAAUGGCUCACCUAGGCGACGAUACAUAGCCGACCUGAGAGGGUGAUCGGCCACACUGGGACUGAGACACGGCCCAGACUCCUACGGGAGGCAGCAGUAGGGAAUCUUCGGCAAUGGGGGCAACCCUGACCGAGCAACGCCGCGUGAGGGAAGAAGGUUUUCGGAUCGUAAAGCUCUGUUGUAAGUCAAGAACGGGUGUGAGAGUGGAAAGUUCACACUGUGACGGUAGCUUACCAGAAAGGGACGGCUAACUACGUG
rnacentral:rRNA from 1 species